rnacentral:rRNA from 1 species
UACGUAGGGUGCGAGCGUUGUCCGGAAUUAUUGGGCGUAAAGGGCUCGUAGGCGGUCUGUCGCGUCGGUAGUGAAAACUCAGGGCUUAACCCUGAGCCUGCUUCCGAUACGGGCAGACUAGAGGUAUGCAGGGGAGAAUGGAAUUCCUGGUGUAGCGGUGAAAUGCGCAGAUAUCAGGAGGAACACCGGUGGCGAAGGCGGUUCUCUGGACAGUUCCUGACGCUGAGGCACGAAGGUCAGGGGAGCAAACGGG